AUUGAACGCUAGCGGGAUGCCUUACACAUGCAAGUCGAACGGAUUGGCGAACGUGUGAGUAAUGUAUCGGAACGUGCCCAGUAGCGGGGGAUAACUACGCGAAAGCGUAGCUACUACCGCAUACUCUUGGCGCGGCCGAUAUCGGAUUAGCUAGGUGGUGGGGUAACGGCUCACCAAGGCGACGAUCCGUAGCUGGUUUGAGAGUACGAACAGCCACACGGGGACUGAGAAACGGCCCAGACUCCUACGGGAGGCAGCAGUGGGGAAUUUUGUACAAUGGGGGAAACCCUGAUGCAGCCAUCCCGCGUGUGCGAGGAAGGCCUUCGGGUUGUAAAGCACUUUUGGCAGGAAAGCGGUACCUGCAGAAGAAGCACCGGCUAACUACGUGCCAGCAGCCGCGGUAAUAC
rnacentral:rRNA from 1 species